rnacentral:lncRNA from 1 species
AAAAAAAAUCAAUAUUUUUUGUACAUUUGUGCAUAUUUUUACAAAUGAAUAUUUGCAUAUUUCAUAUACUAUAAUAUUUGUAAAAAAUCAUAAGAAAACUUAUUUUAUUUAGUAAUCUAUAAACACAUUACAAUAAGUAUUUUAUUCGAUACAAUAUAAAAUAUAAAAAUAAAAAAAAUGCUACAAAAUUUCAAAGCGUUUUUCUGUAUUCGUGUCAAUAUUUCCAUAUUUUCUUCAAUUUAUCAUUUUUCACCUCUUCAAUAUUCACCAUAAUUUCUUCCAAAUCUACAAUAAAAAUAAAAUGAAAUUGAUUGAUGUAAAAACACUCACAAAAUACCCAUGUGAUUUACAUGUGAAUCACAUGUAAUUCAUAUGUGAAUUACAUAUGAAUUACAUGUGAUUCACAUGUAAUUCAUAUAUGAAUAACAUCUGAUUUACAUGUGAAUAACAUAUGAUUUACAUGUGAAUCACAUGUAAUUCAGAUGUGAAUAACAUGUGAUUUACAUGUGAAUCAUAUUUAAUUCAUAUGUGAAUUACAUGUGAUUCACAUGUAAAUCACAUAUGAAUUACAUGUGAAUCACAUGUAAUUCAUAUGUGAAUUACAUGUGAAUCACAUAUAAUUCAUAUAUGAUUCACUUGUGCUUUAAAUGUGAUUUAUAUGUGAUUUACAUGUAAAUCACAUAUAAUUCGCAUGUGAAUCACAUAUAAUUCACAUGUGAUUCACUUGUGAUGUACAUGUGAAUCACAUAUAAUUCAUAUGUGAUUGACUAGUUGUGCCAAUUGAACUAUAGCUUACAGGUAAGAUUAAGAUAUUCUUUUUACCAUACUUUUGGAUUUUUGUUUAUGUUUCAAUCAGCUCAUGGAAGUUCUUCUCAUAGGAGGGAUGAACAUGUUUUACUAUGCUUUACCUACAAAUACAACAGCCGAGUUAAAAUUGUGAAAGAAAUUGUAACUGGAAAGAAAACAAAUAAUCACAUCAUUUAGACUUAGUUUGUUAUGCUUAUGCAUAUGAAUAACAAGACAAGAUAGAACAUAUCAGGUACUCGAAAGACAAUACAUGGAAUGACUCUAGCAAGCCUUUUAUAAAGCAAAGACCUCAAUCAAUAAAAUAAUAAUAAUAAUAAUAAUAAUAAUAAUAAUGAUAAACACCUGAAACAUUGGAGUAAUUCCAGCAAGCAUUCCAAAAGCUCUCACUAGGUCCCCUUAGAACCAUAUAGCCACCUUAAUGCAUCUCCUAAGUCCUAACUGUAGAAAAAUUCUAAAAAGAAGAUUCAAACGUUGUCAUUAAUUAGCUUUUGUAAAACAUAAAACAUAAAAGUAAAUAAACCUAUAUCGUAAUAAAAAUUUCAAAAGAGUAUAAAAGCUAACAAAGUGUAACAUUGUUAAUACAAAUCAAUAUUAAAAAAUUAGGACUCCUACGAGUGCUAAUUAACAAAAAAACAACAUAAUAAGCACUAAAGCAUCUUGCUGUUUAUGAUCAGAUCAAAGAAAGCUGAAGAGUAUAACAACUAACAGGGAAAUGGAGAGCUUAACAUUGUAUCUAGGUGAAGUAUAUAAAAAUAUUAUAAAUGACAUAAUAUACAAUUUUGUAGACAAUUAUGCUCCGAUUAGAGAUCAAUUAGAGAAAAAAAAUGAAAAUCAAUACCUUUAAAAAUACUGGUAAUAUGUUGUCAAGAAAAAGGUAAUACCAUAUCGAAAAAUUAAAAGCAAUGCAUCAUUAACGAUCAGAUUUGGACGGUUAUUCUCUGAAAUCCAUAAACUUCAUGCAUCAUCGCUGCUCACAGUAGAUCAAAUUGAGAGACACAAACAGUAAAAAAAAAAAAAAAAAAAAAAUUUACUUCUAAUAGUGUAGAGAAGAAGGGGGAGAUAUUUACAUAGGUUUUCAGUUGAAUUCAUCGACAAUCAACGAUCUACUUCCGUCAAUCUUCACCGACGAGCGAUUAAGGCCACUUCAGAUCUAAUUCGGAGACAAUGGUGGAAGAAGACAAUUAUGUGAUCAAGGAGGUGUCAGACAUUGAAGUGGAAGAAAUCAAACAUCAAUUGGCAUCGGUAGAUCGGUGAUUGUCUUUAGGAAAUACGACUGAUCUAUGGAGAAAUGGAAGAAAUCAACGAUCGAUUGCAAAAAAAAGUCAUGGAGAUUUGAGAGAGGCGGACGACUAUUGGAGGGCGGAGAUAGGCGGACGACAGGAGAGUCAGUGAAGAAUACGAGAGAAGUCGAUUUCUGAAUGGCCAGCGGUGGCUCCAGUAAGAUAAUUAAUUCUAUAUCUCGAUGGAAUUGUAGAGGAUCGGAGUCGGUGCCUUCAAAAUCGGUCGGAGAUGAGAGAUCGAUGAGGAGAAAUAACUCCAGAUUUGGACGAUGCGGCUCUGAUUUUAGGGGAAACAGACAAGCUUGAUGAGCGAAUCAUUGGCGAUGGAGGUUACGAUAAUCGAAACAGUAGAUGAUCCGGUGAUGGAGAAGAAGCUGAUGAGGGGAAUCAUCGGAGAAGAAGGUGACUGUGAGGAUGAGGGCAGAACGUGAGAGAGAGAGAGAGAGAGAGAGAGAGAGAGAGAGGGGGAUGCAAUUUUAGUUUAUCGGUAUAUUUAG